rnacentral:lncRNA from 1 species
UUAAAGCUUUCUAUGCGGUAUGGGUUUUUUUUCUUAAAAAGUCCGACCAUGACCUUCUAACCUCUACAUCAUGUGAUCUCUGGUUAAAAGAUGUCACUGGCAAUCAUACAUAAAUAUCCUUUUUCUGUGUAUCAAUAUAUGUCGUAAACUGGAAAAAGGUAUAAAUGAAAGGGUUGAUAACAGCUACAAAAUAAAGAAAUAUGGUAAUUACAUGAUAUUAGGUAUAUCAUUUAUAUGUUUGCCG